rnacentral:rRNA from 1 species
GGGUUGUGAGGUUAAGCGACUAAGCGUACACGGUGGAUGCCCUGGCAGUCAGAGGCGAUGAAGGGCGUGCUAAUCUGCGAUAAGCGCCGGUAAGGUGAUAUGAACCGUUAUAACCGGCGAUACCCGAAUGGGGAAACCCAGUGUGACUCGUCACACUAUCAUUAACUGAAUCCAUAGGUUAAUGAGGCGAACCGGGGGAACUGAAACAUCUAAGUACCCCGAGGAAAAGAAAUCAACCGAGAUUCCCCCAGUAGCGGCGAGCGAACGGGGAGGAGCCCAGAGCCUGAAUCAGCAUGUGUGUUAGUGGAAGCGUCUGGAAAGGCGCGCGAUACAGGGUGACAGCCCCGUACACAAAAGCGCAUGUGCUGUGAGCUCGAUGAGUAGGGCGGGACACGUGGUAUCCUGUCUGAAUAUGGGGGGACCAUCCUCCAAGGCUAAAUACUCCUGACUGACCGAUAGUGAACCAGUACCGUGAGGGAAAGGCGAAAAGAACCCCGGCGAGGGGAGUGAAAAAGAACCUGAAACCGUGUACGUACAAGCAGUGGGAGCCCCACCACCAAAGCAUUUGCUGUACCGCGUUGACGGAGCGAAGCGACGUCAAACCGAUAAAACAGCAGUGUAAAGUGAGCCGCAGGGCGCUUUGCGCGACAGCGCAAAGGCAGGCGGUUUCGCGUAGCGAAAGCGAAUGCUUUGGGGUGGGGUGACUGCGUACCUUUUGUAUAAUGGGUCAGCGACUUAUAUUCUGUAGCAAGGUUAACCGAAUAGGGGAGCCGGAGGGAAACCGAGUCUUAACCGGGCGUUAAGUUGCAGGGUAUAGACCCGAAACCCGGUGAUCUAGCCAUGGGCAGGUUGAAGG